GUCUACAGCCAUGCCACCCUGAACGUGCCCGAUCCCAUCUGAUCUCGGAAGCUAACCAGGGUCAGUCCUGGUUAGUACUUGGAUGGGAGAUCACCUAGAAAUGCCAGAUGCUGUAGGCA
rnacentral:rRNA from 1 species